rnacentral:rRNA from 1 species
AGAGUUUGAUCCUGGCUCAGAUUGAACGCUGGCGGCAGGCUUAACACAUGCAAGUCGAGCGGGGAAAGGUAGCUUGCUACCUGACCUAGCGGCGGACGGGUGAGUAAUGCUUAGGAAUCUGCCUAUUAGUGGGGGACAACAUCUCGAAAGGGAUGCUAAUACCGCAUACGUCCUACGGGAGAAAGCAGGGGACCUUCGGGCCUUGCGCUAAUAGAUGAGCCUAAGUCGGAUUAGCUAGUUGGUGGGGUAAAGGCCUACCAAGGCGACGAUCUGUAGCGGGUCUGAGAGGAUGAUCCGCCACACUGGGACUGAGACACGGCCCAGACUCCUACGGGAGGCAGCAGUGGGGAAUAUUGGACAAUGGGGGGAACCCUGGUCCAGCCAUGCCGCGUGUGUGAAGAAGGCCUUUUGGUUGUAAAGCACUUUAAGCGAGGAGGAGGCUACCGAGAUUAAUACUCUUGGAUAGUGGACGUUACUCGCAGAAUAAGCACCGGCUAACUCUAUGCCAGCAGCCGCGGUAAUACAGAGGGUGCAAGCGUUAAUCGGAUUUACUGGGCGUAAAGCGCGCGUAGGUGGCCAAUUAAGUCAAAUGUGAAAUCCCCGAGCUUAACUUGGGAAUUGCAUUCGAUACUGGUUGGCUAGAGUAUGGGAGAGGAUGGUAGAAUUCCAGGUGUAGCGGUGAAAUGCGUAGAGAUCUGGAGGAAUACCGAUGGCGAAGGCAGCCAUCUGGCCUAAUACUGACACUGAGGUGCGAAAGCAUGGGGAGCAAACAGGAUUAGAUACCCUGGUAGUCCAUGCCGUAAACGAUGUCUACUAGCCGUUGGGGCCUUUGAGGCUUUAGUGGCGCAGCUAACGCGAUAAGUAGACCGCCUGGGGAGUACGGUCGCAAGACUAAAACUCAAAUGAAUUGACGG